AGAGUUUGAUCAUGGCUCAGGAUGAACGCUAGCUACAGGCUUAACACAUGCAAGUCGAGGGGCAGCGUGUACAGGUGCUUGCACCAGUACGACGGCGACCGGCGCACGGGUGAGUAACGCGUAUCCAACCUGCCAUAUACUCGGGGAUAGCCCGGUGAAAACCGAAUUAACACCCGAUGAGAUUCCUUGCGGACAUCCAACUGGAAUCAAAGUUUACGGUAUAUGAUGGGGAUGCGUCUGAUUAGCUUGUUGGCGGGGUAACGGCCCACCAAGGCGACGAUCAGUAGGGGUUCUGAGAGGAAGGUCCCCCACAUUGGUACUGAGACACGGACCAAACUCCUACGGGAGGCAGCAGUGAGGAAUAUUGGUCAAUGGGCGAGAGCCUGAACCAGCCAAGUAGCGUGCAGGAUGACGGCCCUAUGGGUUGUAAACUGCUUUUGUAAGGGAACAAAGUGCGGGACGUGUCCUGCUUUGCGUGUACCUUACGAAUAAGGACCGGCUAAUUCCGUGCCAGCAGCCGCGGUAAUACGGAAGGUCCGGGCGUUAUCCGGAUUUAUUGGGUUUAAAGGGAGCGUAGGCCGAAGGUUAAGCGUGUUGUGAAAUGUAGUCGCUCAACGGGUGCACUGCAGCGCGAACUGGCUUUCUUGAGUGCGCGGAAAGUUGGCGGAAUUCGUUGUGUAGCGGUGAAAUGCUUAGAUAUGACGAAGAACUCCGAUUGCGAAGGCAGCUGACUGUAGCGUAACUGACGCUGAUGCUCGAAAGCGUGGGUAUCGAACAGGAUUAGAUACCCUGGUAGUCCACGCGGUAAACGAUGGAUGCUCGCUGUUUGCCUUAUCUGGUAAGUGGCCAAGCGAAAGCAUUAAGCAUCCCACCUGGGGAGUACGCCGGCAACGGUGAAACUCAAAGGAAUUGACGGGGGCCCGCACAAGCGGAGGAACAUGUGGUUUAAUUCGAUGAUACGCGAGGAACCUUACCCGGGCUUGAACUGCCAGCGGACGAUUCAGAGAUGAUGAGGCCCUUCGGGGCGCUGGUGGAGGUGCUGCAUGGUUGUCGUCAGCUCGUGCCGUGAGGUGUCGGCUUAAGUGCCAUAACGAGCGCAACCCUUUUCCCCGGUUGCCAUCAGGUAGUGCUGGGCACUCCGUGGAUACUGCCACCGCAAGGUGUGAGGAAGGUGGGGAUGACGUCAAAUCAGCACGGCCCUUACGUCCGGGGCUACACACGUGUUACAAUGGCGCGUACAGAGAGCCGGUCCCUGGCAACAGGGGUCAAAUCCUUAAAACGCGUCGUAGUUCGGAUUGGGGUCUGCAACCCGACCCCAUGAAGCUGGAUUCGCUAGUAAUCGCGCAUCAGCCAUGGCGCGGUGAAUACGUUCCCGGGCCUUGUACACACCGCCCGUCAAGCCAUGAAAGCCGGGGGCACCUGAAGACUGUGACCGCGAGGGGCGGCCUAAGGUGAAACUGGUGAUUGGGGCUAAGUCGUAACAAGGUAGCC
rnacentral:rRNA from 1 species